ACUGCUAAAUUUAGACAGCCCACUGCGCAGCCACUAGCUAAUUAUCUGUUUAGAUAGCACUUUAACACGUUGUUGAGACUCAGUUAAAUGUUAAACAACCAAAAUUUUAAUAUCACUAGCCAAUUUCAUUCCCCCAGGUUUUCCCUGAUGGCUCCACAUCUCCAAGAAAACAUCUUCACCUAAAGAUGUCAAAGCACAGGCUCACUUCCCACGGAAGGUGGCAAUUACUAUUAUCUGCUUGACAGCUCCAAGAACCUAGGCACAGAGGUUAAGUGCUCUGCAAAUACUACCAGCCAGUGAUGGUUUUCCUGCCAGAACCAAGUUCUUGCCUUCCAGUGGACACCAUUGACCUGUCAAGAUUAUUCUUUAAGUUAAAAAGAGCUGAAAGCCUGCAAACUAUAUUUUGUUAAGUCUUUGGUAAACACAUUUCAUAUUAAUUUCUGUUACAGGACAGCAGAAAUAGGCACAGUGCCUCCAACAUAUCAAAGGAAAGUAAAGGCUAGUGGAAGGGGAUAACAGCUUCCUGACCUCCAGGCACGAAGGGCCUCAAAACCACAUUAAAAUUUAAGAUUGAUAUGCUCUUCUGCUUCUGAAUGUGAGAACCUAUACUGGAUCUCUGAAGAAAACAAAGAUGAGAUGAGGUUCUGAUCCCUUCGACUUCAUGAAGUUACGUGACAGAAAGUAUGAUUGUCUAGCCGAUACUUGACUGUGUGAAACCUUCAUCUUCUACUCCUGAAUCCUGAGGGACAGACUCAGGGGCCCUCUGACUCACGAUUAGGGUUGUCAGGGUGAUACAACACCAAGACCAUAGCCUUUGGUGUCGGAAUACCAAGGUUUGAAGCUCAGUUUCCCCACUCACUAAUUUUCAAUGAGCACAUACAUAAUUUGAAAUCUGAAAAUGGACAAUAAUGCCUACCUACUUCAAAAAUUUGGUUUGAGAAUCAAGUGAAAUAUUAAUAUAUAUGUAAGCAUUUUAUGAACAAGGAAGCAAGUUAUAAAUGCAUUAUCUUGUUAAUUUAGUCGUUUCACUAGGGGUGGGUCCAAUGUGGGCCUCCUUUGAGGUAGACUGUAUUUCAUGAUUUUAUAACAAAAUUCUAAAGUUUAACAAGGACAGUAUCUGGAAAAA